ACGACCUUACUUGAACAGGAUCUGUUCUAUAGGCUCGUACCUCUGUAUCCUUGAGUUCUAAGGAGACAGGAUCUGAAGUCUGGUGGAUGAACCAUGACCCUGUGAUCAGACCGUGAUUAAUAGUCAGGUGCGUCUUAUCCUCUGGAUUAGAUGCAUCUUUAGCUGUAGAGGAUCGUUCCCAGUCUUCAUGACAUGGGAUGGUCACUGGGUUGUCUGACAGACC
rnacentral:snoRNA from 1 species